rnacentral:rRNA from 1 species
GAUGAACGCUGGGGGCGUGCCUAAUACAUGCAAGUCGAGCGAACAGACGAGGAGCUUGCUCCUCUGACGUUAGCGGCGGACGGGUGAGUAACACGUGGAUAACCUACCUAUAAGACUGGGAUAACUUCGGGAAACCGGAGCUAAUACCGGAUAAUAUAUUGAACCGCAUGGUUCAAUAGUGAAAGACGGUUUUGCUGUCACUUAUAGAUGGAUCCGCGCCGCAUUAGCUAGUUGGUAAGGUAACGGCUUACCAAGGCGACGAUGCGUAGCCGACCUGAGAGGGUGCUCGGCCACACUGGAACUGAGACACGGUCCAGACUCCUACGUGAGGCAGCAUUAGGGAAUCUUCCGCAAUGCGCGAAGGCUUGACGGAGCAACGCCGCGUGAGUGAUGAAGGUCUUCGGAUCGUAAAACUCUGUUAUUAGGGAAGAACAAAUGUGUAAGUAACUAUGCACGUCUUGACGGUACCUAAUCAGAAAGCCACGGCUAACUACGUG